GCCCCCUCUCUCUCGGCGCUCCUGCCGCCGCCGGCUCGACGGUGGUGCCGUCGCCGGAGCGGCGUCUCCUCCCUUCGUUCUAUCUCUCCUCCCUCAUCUCUCGUUCUCUCUCUCCUCCCUCAUUUGGAAAUAGGUUGAAGCUUAAAAAAAUUACAUCGACCCUGAUUUGGAGAGCUCCUUUAUCGCCGGAAAAUAGAGCAAGAGCGAGGUGGGUUAUCGGUGAGAAAGAAGGCUCCGAUUUGGGGCGGCCGAUUUGGGGAUCUAAGGGUUUCAGGCGGUGGCUCUAAUUCGAUUUGGGGCGGCCGAUUUGGGGAUAGAGCUGAUCUUCGCCGGAGUUCGCGGAGAGGGAGCUCAAGUUUUCAGGCUGCGGUCGGCGACUACUCUUGUCUGUGGAGGGAGAGGCGCCGCCACUGUUCGUGUGUAGG
rnacentral:lncRNA from 1 species